rnacentral:rRNA from 1 species
UNGGGAAUCUUCCACAAUGGGCGAAAGCCUGAUGGAGCAACGCCGCGUGAGCGAAGAAGGUCUUCGGAUCGUAAAGCUCUGUUGUUAGGGAAGAACAAGUGCAGUAGUAACUGGCUGCACCUUGACGGUACCUUACUAGAAAGCCACGGCUAACUACGUGCCAGCAGCCGCGGUAAUACGUAGGUGGCAAGCGUUGUCCGGAAUUAUUGGGCGUAAAGCGCGCGCAGGCGGUCUCUUAAGUCUGAUGUGAAAGCCCCCGGCUUAACCGGGGAGGGUCAUUGGAAACUGGGAGACUUGAGUGCAGGAGAGGGAAGCGGAAUUCCAUGUGUAGCGGUGAAAUGCGUAGAGAUAUGGAGGAACACCAGUGGCGAAGGCGGCUUCCUGGCCUGUAACUGACGCUGAGGCGCGAAAGCGUGGGGAGCAAACAGGAUUAGAUACCCUGGUAGUCCACGCCGUAAACNAUGAGUGCUAAGUGUUNGGGGGUUUCCACCCCUUANUGCUGCAGCUAACGCAUUAAGCACUCCGCCUGGGGAGUACGGUCGCAAGACUGAAACUCAANNGNNNUUUUUNCCGGGG